rnacentral:rRNA from 1 species
AGUGAACGCUGGCGGUAGGCCUAACACAUGCAAGUCGAACGGCAGCACAGUAAGAGCUUGCUCUUACGGGUGGCGAGUGGCGGACGGGUGAGGAAUACAUCGGAAUCUACUUUUUCGUGGGGGAUAACGUAGGGAAACUUACGCUAAUACCGCAUACGACCUACGGGUGAAAGCAGGGGAUCUUCGGACCUUGCGCGAUUGAAUGAGCCGAUGUCGGAUUAGCUAGUUGGCGGGGUAAAGGCCCACCAAGGCGACGAUCCGUAGCUGGUCUGAGAGGAUGAUCAGCCACACUGGGACUGAGACACGGUCCAGACUCCUAAGGGAGGCAGCAAUGGGGAAUAUUGGACCAUGGGCGCAAGCCUGAUCCAGCCAUACCGCGUGGGUGAAGAAGGCCUUCGGGUUGUAAAGCCCUUUUGUUGGGAAAGAAAAGCAGCAGGUUAAUACCCCGCUGUUCUGACGGUACCCAAAGCAUAAGCACCGGCUAACUUCGUG